GGCAAGAUGGCCGAGUGGUCUAAGGCGUCAGUUUUAGGCACUGAUCUUCGGGCGUGGGUUCAAAUCCCACUCUUGUCA